ACUGGGCUUGCAGGAUGUUUAGUGGACCCGGGAAUUAGUUGUGGUGCGCGUAAGCUGGUCCGGACAUCCUGGAUUAAAAAAAAUUAAUAAAUAUAUUGGUGUACCUUCAUGGAAUGAAAGAACAGGACCGCGCUAUCUCAUGAAAUCUUCCUGGAAAGGGGACCAAAUUAUUUAUUAAUUUCGCUUGAUUUCAGGCUUACCAUUCAAAACAUGUUUUACUUCUUACGUGUAUCAUGUUCGUGGUGAUAAUUUAUUCAAUAAACAAGGUAUUUGAUUUUCUUUUUGGUGAAACGAGAAAAUCAAUAAAAAUAUCGAACCCUGAUAAAUAAAUAAAACUAACAACAGGGAUAAUGUUAAUAGAAAUUCUUAUUAUAUAUAUAUAUAUAUAUGAAUAAUUAAAAUAAUUUUCAAAUCAGCAACUAAAACUAAUAAAUUAAGAUUUUACAUCUUAACACCAUGUUUUUUUGUUUCUUUCCUUUAAACACUCCGUUCCACCUAUCAUGCGCUGUGAAUAAAUAUAAUAUAAUAUAGUUUUCAUGAUUUUAUUUACCAUCUGAUCCGAUCGAGGUCCCCUUUCAUUUUGAAUACAGAUGGAACCUGAAAUUCUUGAAAGGUACCUAACAAUAUAGCUUUCAGUCGAGUGUAGACCGAGAUUUGACAACACAAUUAAUUUCUAAGUUUUGUUUUUCUAUCCUGGGUUGAACGAUACUCCGCCAAGGAUACAUGGAUCGAUCCAGUGCAUGGCACGUCUACCUCACUAUUCUAUUGACAACUGUGGAAUAUUGACUUUCAAGCUCCUGUCUUUUUAAUGCAUUUAAUUUCACGAGUAGACAUGAAGUGAUUUUUAUUCUAGUGUUUUCUUUUAAUAUUAAAAUAAAAUUUAUUUUUAAUAUCAAAAUAAUAUAAAACUUAGAAAACAAUUAAUUUUUUUAAAAAAAUUUAAAACUAUCUUUUUACUGCAAAAACUUCCAAGCUCCGUAGAUAACCAUUACUGUUAUGUGGUUGAUAAAAAUACUGAACUGUCCAAAAAAGUCUUCUAGAUUUUCGAUAAAUUAAUCCAGCAAAGGUGAUUAGAUUUGUAUGGUCAAUAUUAUUCAACAAGGACAUGUAUACUGAAUGCAUGGAUCAGUCAAUAAGAAGGACAAAUCUGUCUACAUUGAGUUUGAUUUUCUGAUUCCAUAGUUGUUUUUUAUUUUAAAAUGUAUCAAUUUUUUUUUUAAUCUUUAAAAAAUUAUUUUUAAAAUCAACUCAUUAAAAUGAUUCAAAAAAUAAUUCAAAAUAUAAAAAAUAAUUAAUUUUUAAUAAAAAAAUACAAGUUGCACCAUAUUUUCAAAUGAUGUUAUCGUUACCGAGAGAGAUUUAAAUCGUCAUAUUACUUAAACCUACGAAUUUGGAAGAGUUAAAAAAAAAAAAAAAACUUUCACUGUCCUGGCUCAGUCGGCAUUCAUAUAAGAAAUUGACAUGGCACUAGAUCAAUAAAUUCUUAUUUUCAAAAUUUUAUCACUUAAACACUAGAAAUUAACUAAGAUAUUUUAACUGGAGACUAGAUCAAUAAAUUCUUAAAAUUUCAACAACUCAACUAAAAAUACAGAUCUUUAAAUAAUAAAUUAAAAAACUAAAAAAACCCAUGCAUACUCGACGACCUUGUCAAUAUGCUAUGUAUCAAUUUAAAGAUUAUAUCGGCAUAUAACAAAAUUUAACAUAAAUUUUUGAAUAAUUUUUUUUUAAAAAAAAUUAAUACUCAGAUGAGCAAAAGUAAGGAAGUAUUACACUGAGAUAGAAAACCUUAAAAAACCUUACUGGCCAUGUAGCAAAACCAUCUCACGUAGUUGACGGGUUUGGGUUGAAUGUGAAACCAUCGAAGAAAGAGAGAGGGUGGGCUUCCACGAGACACGAGGUCUGGGUCACACGUGUGCACUGUUGAGAUGUAAUUUUGUAACAGAAGGUACUGCGACACUACUUUCUUGAGAAGUGUUACUAAUGUGUACACUUUCCAAUGUAUUUUUCUGCUCUGCUUUUCUUUCUUUCCGCUCUCCUCGCAGUCCACACGAAUGGGGGUGGGGGUCGAUUUUGUCAGAGAUUGCACGUGUGGUAGCAGUUAAUGUCAAGACAUUUGACUGUCUGAAGAAAAGAGAGGUAGGCGAGGGGAGAGGUAGCUAAUUCAUAAUUAAGAGAGGGAAAAACAGGGGGCGGCGGCUGAUACGGCACAGCAGGGAGCCCAUCUUGGCAUGUAUUUUUGGUGGUUUGGCUAUGGUAGCCUUUGUGAGUUUUGUCAUGUACUCAUGUGGUGGUGGAUAGAUGGCCUUUUCUGUAUUUUAUGGCCCUCUUACUCUAGAAAAGUGAUUGAAGCCGAUGGUGUAACAACCACCAGACACCAUCUAGCUCCUUCCGUUGUCAAAAGACUCAAAACUAGCUAUCAUAUGAUGAUUCUUGAUU
rnacentral:lncRNA from 1 species